GGAUGUAAAGUUGAUCAGGCUGUGACAUCGGUCACCACAAUGAUCACCAGGGUUGAUCUGGCUAGGCAGGUGUCCCCUUCCUCUCUCACCGCUCCAUGUGCUUCCCUCCUGAAGCUGAGCACUCAGUCUAAGAGGAUGACCUUCUCUCAAUAGAGACAGAUCUGUCUUUGGUAGAAGGUAUAUAAAUAGUUGCCCGAACCUCCCAACAGGCUCUCAAGGCUCAUUAUUAUUUAUCUUUUAAAAAUCUUAAUAGUAGUUUAAUAAUGCUUAACACAAUUGU
rfam:Erinaceus europaeus unplaced genomic scaffold scaffold00708, whole genome shotgun sequence